rnacentral:lncRNA from 1 species
GAGAUACACAUGCAUAUAUUUAUAUAUAGUUAUGUUUAGUCAAUUAUAAAUAUAAGUAUUAUUAAAUAUACGUUUUUCCCUAAGGUGAACAUGAAGAAAAGAAAACCUCUUUUCCAAAAUUUGCUAUUCCAAAUAUCUCAUAGUCCAGGAUACAGAAAUUAUUUCAGAAGUGCACACAUGACUCAAACAGAACCAAAGCAAUCCGAUACACGUGCAACCAUAAAAAACAGAAAUCACAGAACGACCAUGAUCACGGCAGUGACAGAGGUACAAGGAAAUCAUGAGAGGGCAGUAAUAGUGAAGAUUUAUUCAAGGAUGAGAUUGCCAUUGCUGAUGGACUCCAACAUUUUUAUUUUCUCUUACGUAGGCUGCAUUUCUUCAUUCUACGCAAUUAAGCCUUUUCAGCAUUAAUGUGAAGAUGGAUAGACUUGAAAAUCAUUCUCCAAAGACGACUAGCGCUUUCUCGAUUAAUUCAAGUAAACCAUGGCCACCUGACAAGAUUUUUAUGCUUGUUGUAAAGCAGAUAAUCUUUAUGGCACACAAUUCCUUCCAAGACAGAAAUGAAGUGUCAGAACUUGUUUAUACAUAGAACACUCAAUUAUGUAUGUGGGCAACUUGUAUUUGGCUGCCAACUCACCUGGCCUAGUGACAACCCAGUAGACUGCAUGUCUGUUUAGCAUAAAGUUUACCUAGCAAUGAAAAUCAGAAGUAUUUAGAGAUCUUUUAAAAUCCUUCUAUUUUGUCAUUCGACUACUGCCGUGGAUUAUCUCUUUUUUCACUUAAGGGUGAUUUUUAUGAUGCAUAGAGUAUUACACAAAUGUGAGGAUUCACUCAACGUUAAAAUUAAUGAAGCAUCUGCAAGUCCCUAUGACGUAGGAGAGUCGUCUUACAUCUUACAUAAGAUGACUGCAGAGGGGGUCCCUGGGUGGCACAGUGGUUUGGCGCCUGCCUUUGGUCCAGGAUGUGAUCCUGGAGACCCGGGAUCGAAUCCCACGUCGGGCUCCCGGUGCAUGGAGCCUGCUUCUCCCUCUCCCUGUGUCUCUGCCUCUCUCUCUCUCUCUCUCUCUGUGUGACUAUCAUAAAUAAAUAAAAAUAAAAAAAAGAUGACUGCA